UAGAUGGCCCAGCAAAGACUUGUUUAACAAACAUUUGCAUUUCCAUCUCCAUGUAAAUUGUCGUCCUCCUCUCUGAAGUUCCAAACCACUGCCUCCAGCAUCCUCCUUUGUCUUAGCUGAAGAUGGUAUUUAAGGUGGCAGCUUCGGCCAUUCUGGCCUCCCUCCCUCCAGGCUCCUUGGUGGAAGAGAGGAACAGCAGGAGGCAACCAGAACUAUCAAGCAUCACAGACUGCAUGCAGCUUCUCAUCCUUUUUCAGAGCACAGUAUCAACAUUUAUUUUUGUACAAGUUUCAACUGGCUGCUGAGAACAGGGAAAUAGCUGUAUAACCCAGGAGUUUUACUCACCACAGAACUCAGUCCCUAGAACUGCAGGACACUUCAUAUGCCAGGUGCUAAAAAUACAGCUGAAUGAAGUAUUCACAAAAUCGUUUUCUAUUAAAAGCGUCCUCAUUUGGAAAAAUGCGCUAUGAGAAAAUAAAAGGAUGGG
rnacentral:lncRNA from 1 species